GGCUGUGGUUCAGCAGUAGAGCACCUGCUUUGAAUGCAGAAGGUUCCAGGUUCAGUCUGGGAUAUCCUGGUAGGGCUG